rnacentral:lncRNA from 1 species
AAACAUUUUAAUAACAGAAGAUUUUCCACCAAAGUCCAAGUAUUACAUGGACUUGGUAAUACUUGGAUGUGAUCCUGGCUGACAUUCUCUUUGUUAUCAGUAUGGUUUACAUUUGAGACUUCGGUUUAUGCAGAAAAUGUCUAGGUAUCCAGAGAAAAGAGGAUGGCCCUGCUGAGGAUGGUCCUGUCCUUCCAGAUGACUGAUUCAGAGUCUAGCCAUACAAGCCUUUGCUGGAUGUGAUAAAGACCCUGAGCUGAACUCAUGCCUGGCUGCCUGCACCGUUCCCAAAGUGGCUGCCUUGCUGAUCAGGAUGCGUGCAGACAUCUGUGCAGAAUAACAAUGUGGAGGAAGCCCUUGCAGAGACUGUUUCUUCGCUCAAGUACUUCACUGCCAUUCAGCGUCACACUCGCAGAAGGCAUGCUCACUUUCCUCCGUGUCAUACUGAAAAGCAUCAGUUGGAAUUGGGAGCUGGAGACACACUAGCAAGGCUGAGCUGGACUGGAGAGCUGGAGUCCUAACACCACCACUAUCGACUCCUCUAUUCCAUCGCUCUUAAGCAGAAGCUCCUGUCGGCUGUCUUGAAAUUCACGCUCAGUUCUUCUCCCCCAAUUUUCCUUCCAUUCUCAGUUGCACGCCACUAUAGUACUGGCCCAAGUGAGAGGUGUCUACAUCUUCAGUGAGGUGAGCAGAGCAUCGAUGCUGCUUGCUGGGUUUGUAGGUAUGCAGAAUGCAGGAGUUAUGGGGUCAUGAAGCCUUACACUGAAGAUCCGGAAAAUAAGCUGGUGAAACCAAGCACUAUAGUAUAUAGCAAUGUUAGAUCCUUUGCAAAAGAACCUGAGAGGUCCUUGCUUGUAACCCUGAAAAUGAAACCUGAGUUGCAAUGGAGACACCAGGACAUAUCACAAACAUGGAACUUCUGCUGAGAAAAGGUGGCAACACUGCGUGGAGCUGCUUCAAGACAGAACUAUACCUAAGCCUACUAGAGACCAGACUAUGCUACCAGAAGACCUAAAUGCUAUAAAUGAAGAGUUGCAAUGGUAUUUGCUCUGCUGGGGUUUGGUCUUGGCUGAACUUUUCUCCCUGUACCCCAUUCCUCUUGAUUGGGAUAUAAAUGUUUCCUCUGUGCCAUGAGACUGUGAUUUUUUUUUGUUAUCUCACAGGGGCUCAUGGCUAUGAGAUUUUGGGGACUUUUGAAGUUAGAUUAAAUAUAUUACAUAUUAUGAGAUGGCCUUUAGCCUAUGGAGGCCAGAGGCUAACUCUUAGCCUUGAGUGUGGACUAUAUCCUACAAGCUCAUGUGCUUGAAUACUCUGUACCCCUUAGGUGAUGCUGUUUUUGAAGUUUGGGGAACCUUUAGGAGGUGGAGUCAGGUUCAAGGGAAUGGGAUGCUUAGGUCAGGGAGCCUUGUGGCCCCCAGUUUCCUUGCAUGUUCUGGCUGCUUCCUGGUUCAUCAAUAUGUGAACAAAUCACUCACCCUCUUACCACCAUGGAACUCUCUCACCCCACCAUGAAAUUGUGAAUCCCCCAAAUCAAUUUCUCCCUGAAGUUGCUGCUUUCCAGUUAUUUGUUACAAUGAUGAGAAAAGUACCUCAUUCCUUCUUUCCCCAUGACAUGUUCACCUACAAAUAGAGACACAGUAUAUACUCACAACUUUAAUAGGUCAUUAGCUGGGGUGGUGGAAAGUUGACGGGCUUUGAUUUUUGUCCUUCAUGUGUUGUCAAUUUCAAAUAAAUUAAGUUAGUCCCAAGAAAACAAAGUCUGAAUUUCACAAUUUUCUGAGAAUUAUUGGAACCAGGUCUUCCACAUGAGAUAUGAGUCUAUAAAUAUUUUCAGUGCCUAAUGCAGUAAUUACAUUUUGGUGCUGAUACACAUGUAAAUGUUUUCAUAUUCCUACCACAUGCAUGUUGGAGUGUACACACAUUUUUCUUUAUUUUUUUUUCGUUCAGAGAAGCACAUAAAAUACAAAUCUCUUUACUUCAAAGUCAGAGCAGAGGAGUUGGAGUUCUAAAUAUUUUCUGAUUUGGAGUGGUGUUCCACGACACUAGCAUGAAACCAACUCUUCAUCAAAGUGGUUUGCUUCAAUCAGGGCUGUACCGAUGCGCUAUAAAUUAUAAAUCAUAUCUUCUGUUUUACAUGGGAAUGGAAGCUUGGAGGUGGCUCGCACUCCAACAGACGGACUUGAGGUAGUUUCAUGUCCUCGGUUGCUUAUGAUUUGCUUCUAAGGUCAUUUUCAAAGACUCUGCCAUUAACUUCAGAGGCAACCCGGCAAGGAGCUUUCAGCAGCUAAGUAUGGGUUUUGGCACGGGUUCUGAUAGUUAAACAAGGCAGCGAGGAAUCACAAACAAGGAGCCAGGAGGGACGAGUGGGAGGGAAAGGUGGCUGGGAGGGAAUGGGGAGAGAGAAAUGACACCCACCGUCAUACUAGUCACCUCUCACUGGGUUCUUGGUUCCUUCCUGGACAAGAAAUGAAAGGGAAGGAGUGCAGAUCUGAGUAGUGACAGGAGUACCAGCAUUUCAGUCUAACCUAUGCUUCUGGUUUUCCCUGGGGCUGUGGGAAAGCUGAAGACCCCAGUCAUCCAUCACAUUCAUGGUCCCACCUUAAGUCCAGGAUCAUUUUAUCUUGAAAUGAUCAAAUAAGACAGCCCCCCCCCCCUCAGAUUGUAGGUAGACUUGAAGGGUGUGUGUGUGGCUACCAUCCAGCCUCCCACAUCCCUUGAGCAUGCUGCUGUCCUGGCUGUGAUCUCUCUCGUGCCCAACUUGUACCUUCUCUUUUGAGAACAGCCCAGGUUGGUGUCCCAUUCACAAUCCCCCUGCCUUAGCUCCCUAAGUGCUGGGUUUUUAGUCCUGUUGCAAUCACUUCGCACUUUCCCUGUGCUCUUUGGAGCCUCUGAAUCUAGUAUCUAAAGUGCUUGCUAAUGGUUGGUACAGCCAGGAUCCUUGGGACUCUGUCUGCUCUGACACCCCGAGGUUCUAGACACCACCGACAGUGCACAUCAUCUCAGUGAGGACCAAAGAAGCUUUGGAAUCAGGUGGACAGAAGACAGUGGCUGCAGAGUAUGUUAUAGAAAACCAGGAGCUGAUAUGAUAAUGGUGGUGAGUAUAUCUGCGCACACGCACAGCCAGGAGUACACUUGUAUGUGAGAAAAGACUGUUUGACCAAGCUGGAUUCCUUGUCUAUGUGCCUGGGCAAGGCAUGGUUUCCCAUAUGUGUUCCUUCCUGCUGUGUUUUAUUGCUUGGGGUGCCCAUCUUCCGCUCUUGGGAGAUACAUUAGUAAUCCGUGUUCCAGAGGUUUACUUUCAAAGUUUUCAAUGACCUGUGGUUAAGUGAGAUCCCAGAAUAUGAAACGGAAAAUUACAGUAAAAAAAAAAUUCUAAGUUUGGAAUUGCGUGCUGUUCUGUGUAGUGUGAUGAAAUCUUUUACCACACCAACCAGGACAUGAAUCACCCCAUAGCCUAGCACAGCAUGCUGCAUGCGUCACAGAGCUGUUAGUCACUCCCUAGCUGUCUCCUUCGUCAGACCAACUGUUGCAUAUCACAGUGCUGUGGAGCUGGUGAUUCAGGUAUGUCCUCCCAAGGGACAAAGAGUGAGUUGGGGGUAUCAGUCAUGUGCCGCACAAACACCCCACUUCUUUCUUCCAUCCAGCACAUGGUAGGUACUCCUCAAGCCCUUUUAAAGUUUUGGCACGGACAAGGGAAUGUAAGCAAAAGUGAUACAUUACUUCCAGGAGGAAGCAUGAUUUUCUACCUCCUUUCCCCACUGCUGCAGAAACAGAAGCACCCAUUGAACACCAGUCUCUGAAUAAAGGAAUCUGUUUGCAGAGCCCCCUGCUGGCCGGUGGUGGACACACAGUACAAAAGAGAAAUCACCACACUGCUUUACAUUUCUGAGCAGGCUUGUUACUGCAGCAUGACACAACCUCUUCUGGCUAAAUAAAUAAUGUACGUGACGUACUUGCUUUUGUAACUCCUAUAACAUAUAGUGUCCGAUGUUUAGUAGGUUCUCAAUAAUAUUUGAUAAAUUAAGCAGUGAAUGUAAACACAUUUAGCUUGAAAAGGAACAGCCAUCCAUCACAUAUAUAAACAAAGUAGCUGCUGUACUAAGGGGAAAUGGGGUUUGGAAUUAGAUAGUGUAGAUAGCGUUUCAAACUGGAACAAAUGUAUGCUUUAAUCAUACCUAUCUCAUUGGUAGGGUUGUGAUUUAAACUAUUGCCUUUAGCAUAUUUAUUUUAUUGAUGCCUUAGUAAUUAAAAAGAAAAGAAAGAAAAGAGAAAAAGAAGGCAGGAAAAAGAAUUAGUAGUUGCUGGUGAUAUAAAACAAGGCAGAAGACUCAGCAGGUGGUAGAGAUAACAGUUUUCUACUCUCAAGGCUUGACUUAAUGUGAGAGCUUGCCCAUUACUCACUAUUCUUAUCUUUUGACUCAUCCCGCUCAGUUAUUUAUUCUCCAAGUAUUUAUUGAGCAGGUAGGUGCUGAGUCCUUGGCUAGGUGGCUGAUUCUCUCCUGAAGCUCAGCUGUGUAAGGUGUUAAGAGCCAGCAUAAGGACUGCCACAGUCAGCUCCAAAGAUUGGUGGGAGGAGGAAUCCAUCAGAUUUGGGACCAAAGACUUGCUUUGUUUCACUACCUUGUAUCUUCUCAUUCCAUAGUUCUCCAGCCCUUCAAUUUCCUUCCCUACAGCUGGUCCUCAACGCCUUUGUCUGGCACAGCAGCUCUCUGAGAGAGAGGAGAGGAAUACAUUGUUCCCAUUUGUAAGGUGAAGAAACUGGCACCAAGAGAAUGAGACAGAGGCCGAAUGAAGACACUGUGGCCAGCAACUUAUGCUCACUGUCAGAGGAGAACAGCUGCUCCAAGCAGGAAAGCUGGUCAGAGACUAGUGACUUCCUCACCUGGUGAAGGUCAUUUGAUGACUCAGUAUCAAAGUCAGCACUAAAAUGAAAACAACAAUAACAAGAAAAGGUAACAAUUGUUGGCAAGAGCCCUGUGUGUUACUGACAGAAAGUUAGAUGGUACAGCCCCUGAGGAUAAACGGUAAGGUGGUACCUCAAAAAAUUAAACGUGACUUACCUGAAGAUACAGAAACUUCAUUCCCACCUGCCAGCGGGUCCAGAGGAACCAGAGAAGAUAUUUGUAAACCUACAUUGUUAACAACGUUAUUUACAUUAUCUAGAAGGCAGAAGCAACCCUUGUCCAUAAUAGGCAAACGGACACACCACAUGGCAUGUACACCUCCCAGGGAAUCUCAUUUCAUUGUUGAAGGAAGAAAAUGCCAGGGCACCCUGCAGCAGAAGGAACAUGGAGGACACUGGGGAGGGGCCAGCUGGACCAGGAUGAGACUCUACUUUGAAAGAAAUGCCACAGAGCUUCUAGAUAUCAAUCACAUACAAGAGGCAGCUGAGGGGACUGACAAGUGCUCUGGUGGUCUACCUCUGGGUUUCUAACCCAGACAAUCAAGAGCAGAGAUUCUGGAGGGCAGUCUCUGCACACGUGUUUAUAAUAACACCGUUCGCAAUCGGCCAAAGUUAGAGACAACAGGACAUCCAUGGAUUUAAUGACAUCACCUUGGCCAAGAUUCAGGAAUUCGGGACUCCAAGUUAUCCUGAACAGUCUAAAACCGAAAAUGGAAAGAUGAUUUUGCUUUGAGUCCAUGUGAACUCUGUGGAUGAGGGGAUGGACGCGGAGAACAUCUAUUCUGAGUAGAUGAGUUAAACAUAAAACUCUCAACACCAGUGAGGAAAUCAGAUUCCACGUUCACUUAAACUGUCCGCAGAGACCUUCAUUUUACAAACAAGAAACCCAGUGAAGGAAAGUCUGGCCUGGCAUUCCUUUCAUUUGCAGAUGUUGUGUAUCCUCAUUAUUCAUUGUAAACAGAGAAGGCUCCGUGCCACCUCAGUCAUACUGCAGGAGGAUGUUUUCACCAGCUCAGAAAAGGGGGGAAUGGGUGUAAAAAUAUUUAUGCUGCAUUUUCCAGGACUGUGUUUGAUUUCCUUUUUGGUUUGUUUAUUUUGUGGAAUGAGAGGGAUGGUGCAUCUUAUUUUUACAAGCUUGUAUUGUUACCCCAGGAAUGUUUUGGCAGAUGCAAAAUUAAAAACAAACUUCAUGUUUUCUUCAGUGCCCUUCAGGGCCCGAAAGGACAGGAACAAAGUAUCGUGGUUUGUCAUCAGAGCGCCAGGAAGCCACAAGGAAACGGAGUUUAUGAACCAAAUUGCUCAAAACGGGAAAGAAAUGAAAAAUGUGCAGCAGAUGCUCCCAGACUGGAGAACAAGCCAGAGGAAGGCCCACAGCAAAGCUUAUUGGCCUUCAACAAUAGCUGUUUGCACGCACAUGCGCGCGCAUGCGCACACACACACACACACACACACACACACACACACACACACCAAUUCUCUUCUAUAGUCAUUUCCCUGGGAUUUGAAAUUGAUAACUGUGGACACAAAGACACACUUGGCCUAAUUUGUCAGGCUAUUUGGAGUCAUGGGUGUCACCCUGCAUGUCUGGUAUGUGUACAGAUGGCUCCUGCUGGCUUCAAUAAAAUUGGAAAGCAGAAAGUCUGUAAUUUUUUUUCCAGACCAUUUAAAGGGGUUGCUUGUCAGUGCCCUGGUGUUGAAAUGGGAAUGUUAUACUGACUUUCUGGAAGUGUUCCCCAUGUUUAUAGACUGGUAACACAAUGUGUGGGUGAAAGAGAGAGCGAGCCAAUCAAUACUGUCAUCCAGUCUACUGAGUGCUUCAGCCAAACGUGCCCCCCCCCCGCCCCCGUUUUGCUGGUAAGCAAUGCUCCUGCUUGAUCAUGCAAGCAUUCAUUAAGGCAGCAAUUUCCAAAUCACUUUGCCAUUCUUUUGCAAUAUCCAUCAUUUAUCUACUUUUCAAAGACACUUGGUUUGUUUAAAAAUAAAAUAAAUUACCAGGGAAUCUGAGGCAGGCGGCUUACCUACUUCAAGACAACAUAGGGGAGAUCAUAUAUUACAAACAAAGCAAAGUAACAACAACAACAAUAAUAAUAAUUCUACAAAGUUUACAUUGUAACUCUGAAGAGAAACAAACAACUCACCACUACUACAAAGUAGCUAUCAAAAUUAUCUUGCCUAUCUAAGGUUGGGGAGUUGCAAGUAGGUGUCCACAGGGCAGAUAGAGAUGCUGAAGUAGAGAACAUCUCUGAAGAUGAAGAUGGAAGGGCAGUGGGGAAGGGACUGAACUAACUCUGAUGCCUGUGAAGGCUGUCUCCAUCCUGGAAGUAGACAUUUAUCUUGUGUUAGACCAGUGGUUUUCAACCUUCCCAAUGCUGCUACCCUUUAACACAGCUCCUCAUGUUGUGGUGACAGCCCUCCCCCUCCACCCCCCCCCCGCCGUAUAAUUACUUUGCUAAUACUUCAUAACUGUAAUUUUGCAACUGUUAUGAAUUGUAACGUAAAUAUCUGAUAUGCAGAAUACCUGAUAUGAGACCUACAAAAGGACAGUGAACCCCAGGUUGAGAACUACUGCUUGUAAGAGGUUUAUUAUUAUUUAUUGUUAUUUCUUGGGUGAAGAAAAAGUACUUACCUUCCGAAACUGAUCCCAGACAUGUUUAUUCCUUUUAUUUGGAUACUUGCACUGUGUGUUCCAAAGGGAGAUUAAUAUGUGAUAGUCCCCUUAACAGCUGUUGUUUCUGGAAAAUGUAGAUUCAGGCACUUGGUUUUGUGAUUUUGAGGGUUCUCACAGAGAAGCCGGCUACACAGACAAGCAAAGGAAAGAUUAGAGAAGUCUGUUUGCCCAAAGUCACACUUGGGUAACUCAAAUCAGGCUGCCUAUAAUUUGGGGCAUCUUCUUACUGUCUGCAUUUUGCAGUAUGUUAAACUCGUUUACAUUUGGUGUUUUGUGUCUAGACAAACACGUUUGUCCUGAAAAGUGCUUGCUUUCUCUCGUGAUGGUCUAGUGCUGCCACAGUUCUGCAUCAUGGCCCAAGCUCCAUGAAAUAAAACGAUGACAAUUGUUCUUACAGCUCUAGGCUGACCCUAGGGAACCAGGUUCAGCACCUGAGAGAGAUACAUUCUAAAUGUCUCCCACUCUGUGCCCUGGGACUCUGGAGCUACCCAGGAUGUACCCUUCCUUGGACAAGGGCACAGAAACAG